GAUGGAAGAACGCAGCGAAAUGCGAUAAGUAAUGUGAAUUGCAGAAUUCAGUGAAUCAUCGAAUCUUUGAACGCACAUUGCGCCCCUUGGUAUUCCGAGGGGCAUGCCUGUUCGAGCGUCAUUAUAACACCUCAAGCUCAGCUUGGUGUUGGGGCCUGCUGCACUGGCAGCCCUUAAAAUCAGUGGCGGCGCCAUCUGGCUCUAAGCGUAGUAAUUCUUCUCGCUAUGGAGUCCUGGUGGAUGCUUGCCAUCAACCCCCCAUUUUUCUAUGGUUGACCUCGGAUCAGGUAGGGAUACCCGCUGAACUUAAGCAUAUCAAUAAGCGGAGGA
rnacentral:misc_RNA from 1 species